ACAGGUAUGGUGACAUGGUGCCAAAAACCAUAGCUGGGAAGAUAUUCGGUUCCAUCUGCUCACUGAGUGGCGUGUUGGUCAUUGCUCUCCCUGUUCCUGUGAUUGUGUCCAAU
rfam:Dipodomys ordii contig_34056, whole genome shotgun sequence.